UACGGGGGGGGGCAAGCGUUGUUCGGAAUUACUGGGCGUAAAGGGCUCGUAGGCGGCCAACUAAGUCAUACGUGAAAUCCCUCGGCUUAACCGGGGAACUGCGUCUGAUACUGGAUGGCUUGAGUUCGGGAGAGGGAUGCGGAAUUCCAGGUGUAGCGGUGAAAUGCGUAGAUAUCUGGAGGAACACCGGGUGGCGAAGGCGGCAUCCUGGACCGAUACUGACGCUGAGGAGCGAAAGCCAGGGGAGCAAACGGG
rnacentral:rRNA from 1 species